UACAGAGGUCCCAAGCGUUGUUCGGAUUCAUUGGGCGUAAAGGGUGCGUAGGCGGUGGGGUAAGUUGGAUGUGAAGUCUUGAGGCUUAACCUCAAAAUUGCAUUCAAUACUGCUCCGCUCGAGUUCUGUAGAGGAGAUUGGAAUUUACGGUGUAGCAGUGAAAUGCGUAGAUAUCGUAAGGAACGCCAGUGGCGAAAGCGAAUCUCUGGGCAGCAACUGACGCUGAGGCACGAAGGCCAGGGGAGCAAACGGG
rnacentral:rRNA from 1 species